GAAGUGCGAUAAGCAAUGCGAAUUGCAGAAUUCCGCGAGUCAUCAGAUCUUUGAACGCAAAUGGCGCCGGAGGGAUAUCCUUCUGGCAUGUCUGUUUCAGUGUCUGAGAGGUUUCACUAACAUCUUAAUGUGAUUGACGACGACACUCUUUAUUGUGUGUUGCUGUCUCUCAUGAAAGAUGCGCGAGUGGAUCUUUCGGUCCAAUGAAGUGGUCACAUCACUCGUAUGUGAUUUCAUUGGGAGCACCGAAUUAUCCGCUAUACUCGCGGUCUCAUGUCAGAUGACGACGACGACGACGACGACUUCGUUUGUUAGUCUGUCAUCAUCUUUCUCUCUCUACACCCUGCAUCUGAGAUAGGCAAGAUCACCCGCUGAACUUAAGC
rnacentral:misc_RNA from 1 species